rfam:Salmo salar isolate Sally breed double haploid chromosome ssa06, whole genome shotgun sequence.
UGCAUUCACUACUGUAAGUCGCUCUGGAUAAGAGCGUCUGCUAAAUGAAAUAAA